GCGCUUGAGUGCCAGGAGGCCACGUGGGGAAGCGAAGGCGCCUCCUUUCUCCCUCGACUUCCCUUUUUUCAUCCCACUCCUCGCAUGCUUUUGCCCAGGCAGGUAACGCCGGGCACCCGCAGGAUAGAGCCGGGAGUCAACUUUUAACGCCACACCACAGUAGGAAGCAGCUAAACAGAAAAAAAAUGGGAUAAAGUUUACCUUUCAGAAAUAUGCCAAGUAACACACUGCAGCACGCUAAGACUACGAGGACAGGAGGCUGAGUGAAGCUAAACUGCCCAGAAGCAACUGUCCUUUUGCAUUCUUACACCACAGUGCGAUGAUUAACUUUGGGCAUGUAAAAAGAAGAACAUAGAGAUGUAAUUGCCAGAAACAUUGUGAAGAAGCUGAACUAAGGCUGAAGUUUAGAACUAAAUUGUGCUGAUUUUUCUUCAUUAACAUCCUACUAGUGGCACCUUAGAGACUAACAAAUUUAUUUGAGCAUAAGUUUUCGUGGGCUAAAACCUAC